rnacentral:rRNA from 1 species
CUCGCUUUUGUGCAUCGUAAGGUGGUACACGAAUAAGGGCUGGGCAAGACCGGUGCCAGCCGCCGCGGUAACACCGGCAGCCCGAGUGAUGGCCGCUUUUAUUGGGCCUAAAGCGUCCGUAGCCGGCCGUUCAGGUCCGUCGGGAAAUCCACUGGCUCAACCAGUGGGCGUCCGGCGGAAACCGAUCGGCUUGGGACAGGGAGACCAGAGGGGUACGUCCGGGGUAGGAGUGAAAUCCUGUAAUCCUGGACGGACCACCGGUGGCGAAAGCGCCUCUGGAGAACUGAUCCGACGGUGAGGGACGAAAGCUGGGGUCUCGAACCGGAUUAGAUACCCGGGUAGUCCCAGCUGUAAACAAUGCUCGCUAGGUGUGUCGCAGGCUACGAGCCUGCGAUGUGCCGUAGGGAAGCCGAGAAGCGAGCCGCCUGAAGA